rnacentral:rRNA from 1 species
CCCUUAGAUGUUCUGGGCUGCACACGUGCUACACUGGCAGGUCCAGCGAGCUUCAUGCCCUGAUCUGAAAGGAAUGGGAAAUCUUUUCAAAACCUGCCGUGCUUGGGAUAGAUGUUUGCAAUUAUUCAUCUUCAACGAGGAUUGCCUUGUAAGCGCACGUCAUCAGCGUGCAUUGAAUACGACCCUGUAUUCUGUACACACCGCCCGUCGCUCCUACCGAUUGAAGUUUUCGGUGAGUUGACAGGAGGAUUUUUUUGAAACUGGUUCGCCAGUGGAUUUUAGAUCCAAAUGCCAACGAAUCGAUGGCUUUAGAGGAAGGAGAAGUCGUAACA